AGUGAACGCUGGCGGUAGGCCUAACACAUGCAAGUCGAACGGCAGCACAGUAAGAGCUUGCUCUUACGGGUGGCGAGUGGCGGACGGGUGAGGAAUACAUCGGAAUCUACUUUUUCGUGGGGGAUAACGUAGGGAAACUUACGCUAAUACCGCAUACGACCUACGGGUGAAAGCAGGGGAUCUUCGGACCUUGCGCGAUUGAAUGAGCCGAUGUCGGAUUAGCUAGUUGGCGGGGUAAAGGCCCACCAAGGCGACGAUCCGUAGCUGGUCUGAGAGGAUGAUCAGCCACAAUGGAACUGAGAACCGGUCCAGACUCCUAAGGGAGGCAGCAGUGGGGAAAUUUGGAAAAUGGGCGCAAGCCUGAUCCAGCCAUACCGGGUGGGUGAAGAAGGCCUUCGGGUUGUAAAGCCCUUUUGUUGGGAAAGAAAAGAAGCAGGUUAAUACCCCGCUGUUCUGACGGUACCCAAAGAAUAAGCACCGGCUAACUUCGU
rnacentral:rRNA from 1 species